GCUCAGACGUGGAUAGCUCCUCCAAGUGUAGAUUUGAAGCUCAAUUUUGAUGCAGUGUUUAGCAAAAGUAGUAGGUCAGGAACAAUAACAGCCAUUGCACGAGACUCUCGAGGUAUGCCUGCAGGCUAGAGCUGUAAAAGAAUCCCAUGUAUUAGUAAUCUUUUGAUCCUUGAGAACUUAGUUUGUAGAGAAUCAAUUUUACUUGCUAAAAGGAAGAGAUUCCGCAGCAUCAUUAUUGAAUGAGAUGCCAAAACUGUUAUUGAUGCUCUAAAUGGAGGAAGGGUUCCCCAAGAUAUUCAGGGUAUUAUUCAAGAUGUUCAAGCUUUAUUUGAUAUUUUUUAUUAGUGUAUUUUUCAAUUUAAA
rnacentral:misc_RNA from 1 species